UGGCGGACGGGUGAGUAAUGUCUGGGAAACUGCCUGAGGGAGGGGGAUAACUACUGGAAACGGUAGCUAAUACCGCAUAACGUCGCAAGACCAAAGAGGGGGACCUUAGGGCCUCUUGCCAUCGGAUGUGCCCAGAUGGGAUUAGCUAGUAGGUGGGGUAACGGCUCACCUAGGCGACGAUCCCUAGCUGGUCUGAGAGGAUGACCAGCCACACUGGAACUGAGACACGGUCCAG
rnacentral:rRNA from 1 species